rnacentral:rRNA from 1 species
UACGUAGGGGGCAAGCGUUGUCCGGAUUUAUUGGGCGUAAAGAGCGUGUAGGCGGCCAUACAGGUCCGUUGUGAAAACUGGAGGCUUAACCUCCAGACGCCGAUGGAAACCAUGUGGCUAGAGUCCGGAAGAGGAGAGUGGAAUUCCUGGUGUAGCGGUGAAAUGCGCAGAUAUCAGGAAGAACACCCGUGGCUAAGGCGGCUCUCUAGUACGGUACUGACGCUGAGACGCGAAAGCGUGGGGAGCGAACAGG